GGAGCUUGCUCCUCUGACGUUAGCGGCGGACGGGUGAGUAACACGUGGAUAACCUACCUAUAAGACUGGGAUAACUUCGGGAAACCGGAGCUAAUACCGGAUAAUAUAUUGAACCGCAUGGUUCAAUAGUGAAAGACGGUUUUGCUGUCACUUAUAGAUGGAUCCGCGCCGCAUUAGCUAGUUGGUAAGGUAACGGCUUACCAAGGCAACGAUGCGUAGCCGACCUGAGAGGGUGAUCGGCCACACUGGAACUGAGACACGGUCCAGACUCCUACGGGAGGCAGCAGUAGGGAAUCUUCCGCAAUGGGCGAAAGCCUGACGGAGCAACGCCGCGUGAGUGAUGAAGGUCUUCGGAUCGUAAAACUCUGUUACUAGGGAAGAACAAAUGUGUAAGUAACUAUGCACGUCUUGACGGUACCUAAUCAGAAAGCCACGGCUAACUACGUGCCAGCAGCCGCGGUAAUACGUAGGUGGCAAGCGUUAUCCGGAAUUAUUGGGCGUAAAGCGCGCGUAGGCGGUUUUUUAAGUCUGAUGUGAAAGCCCACGGCUCAACCGUGGAGGGUCAUUGGAAACUGGAAAACUUGAGUGCAGAAGAGGAAAGUGGAAUUCCAUGUGUAGCGGUGAAAUGCGCAGAGAUAUGGAGGAACACCAGUGG
rnacentral:rRNA from 1 species